AGCGAACGUUGGCGGCAGGCUUAACACAUGCAAGUCGAGCGCCCCGCAAGGGGAGCGGCAGACGGGUGAGUAACACGUGGGAACGUGCCUUUUGGUUCGGAACAACCCAGGGAAACUUGGGCUAAUACCGGAUAAGCCCUUACGGGGAAAGAUUUAUCGCCAAAAGAUCGGCCCGCGUCUGAUUAGCUAGUUGGUGGGGUAAUGGCCCACCAAGGCUACGAUCAGUAGCUGGUCUGAGAGGAUGAUCAGCCACAUUGGGACUGAGACACGGCCCAAACUCCUACGGGAGGCAGCAGUGGGGAAUAUUGGACAAUGGGGGCAACCCUGAUCCAGCCAUGCCGCGUGAGUGAUGAAGGCCUUAGGGUUGUAAAGCUCUUUUAGCAGGGAAGAUAAUGACGGUACCUGCAGAAAAAGCCCCGGCUAACUUCGUGCCAGCAGCCGCCGCGG
rnacentral:rRNA from 1 species